rnacentral:lncRNA from 1 species
GGUGCAGCUGCCUCUCACAGCAAACUUCAGAGUUUGUGAAAUUUAUAGAAGAUGAUGUGGGAAAGAAAACUGAAAACAAGGGGGAAAUAUGAACCCUUCUCCCCACCUUUCAACACUUUUGGAGAUUAAUGUGAAGACUGCAAAUGCUAAUGAAGCUGUCUUCCCACUGAGCACCCUGCUACUCUAAGGCACUACACUCUCAUUUUGCACUGCGCCAGGACCCUGGAGUGGUGGCCCCAGAUCAAGACUCACAGUGUGGCAAAGAGUGAGAAAGUCAGGCUCAGAUCAUCAAUACUCAGAUCAGACAACUCAUUUCUCUUAUUUCCAGGUCUACAUGUUGGCUGUAGAUGACUGCAUGUGUGAUGAGUGCAUGCUUACUUCUGAGGUGACUUGGAGGAGGGGUAAAAGACUUGG